rnacentral:lncRNA from 1 species
GAGCGUGACGGUGACGCUGACUCCAGCAGCCAGUGGGGGAGGGGGAGUGGCCUCAGUCGGGAUGGAUCCGGGGGUUCUGGGGCUCUGAGGUGAAGUGUGGGAGCACUCUGUUCACUUCUGGAGGACCUGAAGGCUUUGCCAUUGCCUUGUGGGAGUUUUUGUAGACGUUCCUGGAAAUGCAGGCGUGGACCUUGUGUACAUUUUGAUUAAAACCAGGUGUGGGAGCUGCUGCCGAAGGCUUUGUUUGAGGUACCCGAGGUGGGGGAAGAGGCUUGAGAGGCGAGGACUCCCAAGUACCCCAAGGGGAUGCUGGGCCUGGGUGACUUCAGGACUAGUUACCCAGUGGUAAUUCAGGAGCCUGGAAGAGCUCCAAAUCCAAGGAUAGAGGGAGGCCCUUCCAGCCCGCCCGCUCCCCCCCCCCAGGCCAUACCCAUCAGGCCUUGCUUCUCCCUUCAGGCACACGAAUCCCUAACUGCUGUGUAAGACUGAUAACGCUUUACCGAAGAGGACCUUGGGCUCCUAAGUCACAAGUUUAGCUCCCUCAGCCCUCAGGCCUCAGAUCAGUGGGCUGGGAGUGAUAAAGAGAACAAUCCCUGCCCACAGGACUUGUUUCCCUCAGAUAAAGGAAGCCUUCCUGCCAAGACGAGAUUCUCUCUAGAGGGGGUCUCAGGGUGGUUUUCAAAUUAUCUGUAGCAGAAUUGUUGCAACAGUACAAGUUUUGGGGAGGGGGUGUAGAGGGGGAGGAGCCUUCCUAAAUUGCCCAGGUUGGCUUUGAACUAGAGAUCCUCCUGCCUCAGCUCCAGAGUAUUGGCAUUAUAGGCUUGCACCUCACACCAGACUGCAAAAUAUAAUGUUAUGUGAGACCCCCAAUUGUGAGAGGGACAAAGUGGAGAGGCUCUGAGUGAAGUUCUCUCUGAGCAGCUUGAUAGGUUCUGCCUUUAUCGCAAGGCACUACUGGAGCAGCUGGCUGGUGGGAGAAAUGGGAAGUGGCAUCACUCAGGUCUGGUGGCAGCCUUGUGAACCCCAGCUUGUCACUGUCCCCCACAGCAGCUCCCCUGGGGCCAGACCCCAGGAUGGGUGAGGUCCUGGCAGCCAGCAUUGCUUUCUUCCUGGGCUGACCUUUCUUCUAGGCCAGGGGACAAGUGGGACUCCCAGACUAGACAGGGCCAGCCCUGUCCCUAUUUCCCCUCAAUGGGGUUCUCUUGCUCAUAGUCUGAGGAAGAACUAUGACUCACUUCCUGCCUCAGUCUCACUGCGGGAGUAUUGUUCUCCCAACUGUGGUUGGUGCUGGCAGGGACUACCCCAGGGUGGCCCCUACGAGCUUGGCUCCCUGGGGGGGGGAGUCCCCAAACUGGAAAGUGGCCAACUUGGACUUAGAGGCUUAUCUCCCAACUUUGAGAACUCUACAUUCUUCAGGUUUCCAGUUUCUAUAGUGUCUGUGAGGGUGUCCCAAUAGUACCUGAUCCCACUAUCUUAAUAUUAUUUCCAUUUUGGAGGGGUAAAUUGAGGCUUUGAGAAAUGAAAGUGGUCCAAUACAAAAUAGUGUCCGGGGAUUAGAACCCAAGCUGCCUGGCUGACUUUCCAGAUAAUAUGAGUUGCCUCCAGAAUAGUAUUGGG